rnacentral:lncRNA from 1 species
CCUCUCUCCUCCCCCCCGAGCUCUCUCUUCCUCCGGUUCGGCGAUUUUCCUUCCUCCUCCGAUUGCCGGCGAUUCCGGCCACCCCAGGACGUGCCACCGGUCAUCCCAGGUUCGCCUCCUCCCUCCGAGCACGCCUACAUCCUUGGUUUUCCACGAUUUGGCCGGAAAACCACGGAUCGAACGAAAGACUCCUCCGGCUGCAGUUGACGAUUUCCGGCUAUUCCGGCCACCUCCGGCCCCCAUCUCUCUGUCG